UCUUCAUCAACAUGACCUUCAUCAUCAUCUUCAUCUGGACACUUUCAUAUUGCUUUAUACUACAAGGGUGUAAAGCUCAGAUCACAGUCACUCAGACUCCUUCAGUGAAAACUGUCACACCACGAGAAAAUGUAGAGAUGAGCUGUAAACUCAGUACUGCUACACCCUGCAGCCCAAACCCCUGUGUGUUCUGGUACUUACAGAAACCUGGAGAAGCUCCUAAACUCCUGAUUUAUUGGACAAACACCCUCCAGUCAGGAACUCCAUCUAGAUUCAGUGGCAGUGGAUCUGGGACUGAUUUCUCUCUGACCAUCAGUGGAGUCCAGACUGAAGAUGCUGGACAUUAUUACUGUCAGAGUUUUCACUGCAGAACAGAUUCUGAUGGUGAUUGUGUGGGUGAUGAGGUGUUCACACAGUGA